UACAGAGACUGCAAGCGUUAUUCGGAUUCACUGGGCGUAAAGGGUGCGCAGGCGGCCAAGUGUGUGAGGCGUGAAAGCCUGGAGCUUAACUCCAGAAUUGCACCUCAAACUACUUGGCUAGAGCAUUGGAGAGGGUAGCGGAAUUCCCGGUGUAGUGGUGAAAUGCGUAGAUAUCGGGAGGAACACCAGUGGCGAAAGCGGCUACCUGGCCCAUUCUUGACGCUGAGGCGCGAAAGCUAGGGGAGCAAACGGG
rnacentral:rRNA from 1 species